CAGAGAGCGCGGAUGCCGGCGGCAGCCACCUGUUGUCGCUGUCGGUGAAGCUGACUCGGUAGGAGAUCGACGCCGACUUCGCCAAGAUCACCGGCAGCAAGGCGCCGCGCCGGCCCAUGAAGUGGAGCAAGACCGUCCAGCGCAAAAUCAAGACGCUUUGCCUAGGGAGUUUGCUGGUGCAGGUGACCCUCGACCGGUACAAGGUGAACGAGAAAGGAAGAUUUUGAUUUCUUCAGUCGCGCGAACAAGAAAGGGGGGAGAGGAAGAGGAGGAGAUGGAUUUCACAACGGAGGAGAUUGAUCGAGCAAUGUCUGCCUCCUCAUCUCGUGAUGCAUCAAUGCUUACCACAAGGAUGGCUGGCGAUUCUUCUGACGGGGCCAACAUUAUUUCUUUAAGAGAAAAUAUAAAUAGAGAACAACAGAUGAACAUGGGAAACCAGCUUGCUCAAUGUCGCCCACUUGCUGAGAUGACUCUUCAGAUACAGAUGCAGCUUCUGCACCUUCCCCAAUUUGAUUCACAUGGACAAUUAGCUCAGCAUCAAUAUUUCCUGCUUUCUCAAGCCUGUCAACUUCACUGAUAAAUGUCAACUUCCAUGGAAUCCUUAGGAGCUUCGGACAUAUUCAAACCUAGAGGAAAGACAUGAUCACAUGGCAGCAAC
rnacentral:misc_RNA from 1 species